rnacentral:rRNA from 1 species
GACGGAGGAUGCAAGUGUUAUCCGGAAUCACUGGGCGUAAAGCGUCUGUAGGUGGUUCGAAAAGUCCACUGUUAAAGAUUGAGGCUUAACUUCGAAAAUGCCGUGGAAACUUUCAAACUAGAGUAUGGUAGGGGUAGAGGGAAUUUCCAGUGGAGCGGUGAAAUGCGUAGAUAUUGGAAAGACCACCGAUGGCGAAGGCACUCUACUGGGCCAUUACUGACACUGAGAGACGAAAGCUAGGGGAGCAAAUGGG